rnacentral:rRNA from 1 species
GACGUAGGGCGCGAGCGUUGUCCGGAUUUAUUGGGCGUAAAGAGCUCGUAGGCGGCUCGUUGCGUCGGCUGUGAAAACCCGCAGCUCAACUGUGGGCUUGCAGCUGAUACGGGCGGGCUGGGAUUCGGUAGGGGAGACUGAAUUCCUGGUGUAGCGGUGAAAUGCGCAGAUAUCAGGAGGAACACCAGUGGCGAAGGCGGUGGUCUGGGCCGAUACUGACGCUGUAGAGCGAAAGCGUGGGGGAGCGAACAGG